rnacentral:rRNA from 1 species
GCCCAAUGCUUUAAGGAGUUAAUGGCUGCAUAAAUUUGAGUGUACUAAGGUAGCGCUAUAAUUUGCCUUUUAAAUGGGGGAUGGUAUGAAUGGGUUCACGCGAAAGUUGCUGUGUCACAAAAAUUUUUUGAAAUUAACUUUUAGGUGAAGAGGCCUGACUAAGUUUAAAGGACGACAAGACCCUAGAAGCUUUACUGAAAGUAAUAUAUAUAUAUAUAUACACACAGUAUAUUACUCCAGUUUUGUUGGGGCAACAUAGUUAGAAAGUAUAACUUGCUUAUACAAACUUACAGGUUAAAACCACUUAGGUGAAUAAGAUAAGCUACUCUAGGGAUAACAGCGUUAUUUUUUUUAAUAGUACUUAUUGUAAAAGAAGUUUGCGACCUCGAUGUUGGACUAAGGUAUCCUUAAGGAGCAGAAGUUUUAGAGGGUUGGACUGUUCGUCCAUUAAAACCUUAC